GCAGAAGUGAACGACUCUGUGGUGUCCUUUAUUUCAAGCUCACAGGGAUAUAUCAAAUCGACAUAUGCACUGUCAUGAUCGUGUGCAGGAUUGGACAAAACAAGAUGGCAGACGGCAUUUCCAAACAAAGGUAUCAAGCCCAAGAACUUCAUUCCAUGAGAUGGGUACACUUCGAAUGUGCGAAAUUUGUGGUGAGGAAUUCAAGACCAAUUCUGAAUUGCGUAGGCAUGUAAAAAGGAAACAUCAAUCAGAGAAAUUGUCUUCGUUUGUGACCAGUGCAACACACGCUUUUGCACAUUAUAAAAGAAACAUGAAGUAAAAAAAAUUACAUUGUUUUCUGAAUACACGAAGUGCAUACAUAUACCAUGGCAGCCGUUUUUUAUAUCCGUUUAUGUACAUUAUGAAACGAUUAUUUUUACGGUAUUAUGCUUUGUUUUACAGAGAUACUACUAAUCUUUUACAUUGCAUUUUACACAUGUUGAUUUGUUAUUUCAUUGAACCAGAAGUGUUCUUAAUUUUUACUUGUUAUUAAAUAUAUUUCAAAU